GGUGGUAAUGCCGGAUGCUCCAUCACACCGCAUGGUGUGUUGGGAAAGCCUUUGCGGCAUGGGAUGGGGUCGCGUCCUAUCAGCUUGAUGGCGGGGUAACGGCCCACCAUGGCUUCGACGGGUAGCCGGCCUGAGAGGGCGACCGGCCACAUUGGGACUGAGAUACGGCCCAGACUCCUACGGGAGGCAGCAGUGGGGAAUAUUGCACAAUGGGCGCAAGCCUGAUGCAGCGACGCCGCGUGAGGGAUGGAGGCCUUCGGGUUGUAAACCUCUUUUGUUAGGGAGCAAGGCAUUUUGUGUUGAGUGUACCUUUCGAAUAAGCACCGGCUAACUACGUGCCAGCAGCCGCGGUAAUACGUAGGGUGCAAGCGUUAUCCGGAAUUAUUGGGCGUAAAGGGCUCGUAGGCGGUUCGUCGCGUCCGGUGUGAAAGUCCAUCGCUUAACGGUGGAUCCGCGCCGGGUACGGGCGGGCUUGAGUGCGGUAGGGGAGACUGGAAUUCCCGGUGUAACGGUGGAAUGUG
rnacentral:rRNA from 1 species